rnacentral:misc_RNA from 1 species
GAUGAAGAACGCGGUGAAAUGCGAUAAGUAAUGUGAAUUGCAGAAUUCAGUGAAUCAUCGAAUCUUUGAACGCACAUUGCGCCCGCCAGUAUUCUGGCGGGCAUGCCUGUUCGAGCGUCAUUACAACCCUCAGGCCCCCGGGCCUGGCGUUGGGGAUCGGCGGAAGCCCCCUGCGGGCACAACGCCGUCCCCCAAAUACAGUGGCGGUCCCGCCGCAGCUUCCAUUGCGUAGUAGCUAACACCUCGCAACUGGAGAGCGGCGCGGCCACGCCGUAAAACACCCAACUUCUGAAUGUUGACCUCGAAUCAGGUAGGAAUACCCGCUGAACUUAAGCAUAUCAAUAAGCGGAGGA